UACAGAGGUCCCAAGCGUUGUUUCGGAUUCACUGGGCGUAAAGGGUGCGUAGGUGGUGAGGUAAGUCGGAUGUGAAAGCUCCGAGCUCAACUCGGAAAUGGCAUUGGAAACUACCUUGCUCGAGGGUUUGAGGGGGGACUGGAAUACUUGGUGUAGCAGUGAAAUGCGUAGAUAUCAAGUAGAACACCAGUGGCGAAGGCGGCCCCCUGGACCGGUACUGACGCUGGAGGCGCGAAAGCGUGGGUAGCAAACGGG
rnacentral:rRNA from 1 species